CAAUUUUUAAUCAAAUAUUGAUCAGGAACUACAGAAUUUUCGACUACAGGGCGUCACACUACAGAGAACAGAACGACAGUCACAACGUCCCAAAAUACGACAGACUGAAAAUUUGCUGUUGUGUUUUUCAAGUGGGUGAGACGUCUAUACGGCGUAUACGCAGAUUGCUGUCCUCUCUAUUAAAAGCAACGUUGCUGAAACACGUCGUACAAGACGCUGUACGACUCGCAUAACAUCGAAAUACAACGCCGUCACCAUCCAUGAGAUCACCGAAAGCACGGUCGCUUUCGGUGGCGGCGUACAGAUGGCAGCACAGGUAGCGCCGGUAAAGUUACAGGUGAUAUUAUUUUGCCGUCCUCAGUUGUCGCCACAUGUGAGUGCUUGCUGCAUUGACGCCGUCCGAUGUAGUUGUUUAAUCGUGUGUACGCUGUGCCGAGAGAAAUUGUGGUGCAUUUUGUAUGCAUUGAGAAUCACAAAACCCCUGGGACCGCGUAAUGUAGCCCGCAGUAUCCUUCGUGUGGUGCGCCGAUGUCGAAGAUAUGACCCUUCGCGCUUCCUUUGUUCCGGGCUCAUCAACAGGAUCUCCUCCUCUGGCACUGUCGCAUCGUAUCGCGCUGUACGGAAGAAUUUGGUGAAAGUUGUGCUCUUACGUCCUGUAGUUGAUCCGCAAUUCAACAGUGUGUGCGCCGGAAGGACCGUUGGUGCAGUCGAUGCCGCGGCACCUGUGACGCUAAAAGGAGCGUUUUCCGAGUACGCCUAGAAAGGGAUGGCAAGAUUUUGUGAACCAGAGGCACCUCCACAUAUGCACCUGCGGCACUUCUGCAGCCUCAACAGCAUGGAAAAGUACCUGAUGUGCAUGCUGUGACAAGCUGCUGUAGGUAUGGCUGGACCUGGAGAAGAAGUGUAAGCAGAUCAUGCUAUGUUGCUGAUCUGCGCUGAUCUCCACAUUCAAGUUGGUCCCGCGACAGUUGGGCACCAUUGUGCCUUGCUUCAUUGACAAGGUGAUAUAAUAUGGUGCCCUGCUCGCUGUCACCCAAGCAACCCACUCCAGCGGUCUUCUCUCGGCAGACUGGAUGCAUCGAAAUACCGUUAGAAGGUCCAAUAAACAGUGCUUGGGACAUUUA
rnacentral:lncRNA from 1 species